GGAGAUGUGUCCGAGUUGGCUUAAGGAGCACGAUUGGAAAUCGUGUAUACGUGAAAGCGUAUCUAGGGUUCGAAUCCCUACAUCUCCGCCA
rnacentral:tRNA from 1 species